rnacentral:rRNA from 1 species
AACGAACGCUGGCGGCAUGCCUAACACAUGCAAGUCGAACGAGACCUUCGGGUCUAGUUGCGCACGGGUGCGUCACGCGUGGGAACCUUCCCUUAGGUUCGGAAUAACUCCCCGAAAGGGGUGCUAAUACCGGAUAAUUUCUUCGGACCAAUGAUUUAUCGCCUUUGGAUGGGCCCGCGUUGGAUUAGCUAGUUGGUAGGGUAAAAGCCUACCAAGGCGACGAUCCAUAGCUGGUCUGAGAGGAUGGUCAGCCACACUGGGACUGAGACACGGCCCAGACUCCUACGGGAGGCAGCAGUGGGGAACAUUGGACAAUGGGCGAAAGCCUGAGCCAGCAAGGCCGCGUGAGUGAUGAAGGCCUUAGGGUUGUAAAGCUCUGUUACCCGGGAUGAUAAUGACAGUACCGGGAGAAUAAGCGCCGGCUAACUCCGUG